AAGGAAGAAACAAAGAACUGCUAAUUCUUUAUUCCAUAUCUAAUCAUAUGGCUCCCUUG
rnacentral:tRNA from 1 species